rnacentral:rRNA from 1 species
CUAAGAAUAUUCCGCAAUGGACGAAAGUCUGACGGAGCGACGCCGCGUGGAUGAAGAAGGCCGCAAGGUUGUAAAAUCCUUUUGCUGGGGAAGAAUAAGUCCAGGAGGGAAUGCCUGGAUGAUGACAUGAACCGGCGAAUAAGCCCCGGCCAACUACGUGCCAGCAGCCGCGGUAACACGUAGGGGGCAAGCGGUGUUCGGAAUUACUGGGCGUAAGGGGCAUGUAGGCGGUUUAGUAAGCUUGGAGGGAAAGA